AAGAGAGAGGGAGGGGGGAGGGGGGGCGCGCCCGGGGUGUGGGUUGUUUACUUUUAUUGUCCCAUCUGUAUUGUACUUCUUCAAUUGAGGGUUUCAUUAGGGUUCCGUUGUAUUCUAUAAAUUGCCCCUCUUUGUUUAGUGUGUGUUUCACUUGAAAUAUGGAACAUACUUUGCAAAUCUGCAGAUUUGUUUGUCUAUUUCUUUCCAAUUUUCUUUUGCUCCUUUUUUGGUUGUUACAAUUUCUGUGUUUUUCUUUCUAUUUUUUUUUCAGCUUUUGUUUUUCUGAUAAUGAAUCAAUGUUUUCUUUUUUCAGUUGUUAUGCCUGGAGGUAGCUGGG
rnacentral:misc_RNA from 1 species